rnacentral:rRNA from 1 species
GGCGGACGGGUGAGUAACACGUGGGUAACCUGCCCAUAACACUGGGAUAACUCCGGGAAACCGGGGCUAAUACCGGAUAACAUUUUGAACCGCAUGGUUCGAAAUUGAAAGGCGGCUUCGGCUGUCACUUAUGGAUGGACCCGCGUCGCAUUAGCUAGUUGGUGAGGUAACGGCUCACCAAGGCAACGAUGCGUAGCCGACCUGAGAGGGUGAUCGGCCACACUGGGACUGAGACACGGCCCAGACUCCUACGGGAGGCAGCAGUAGGGAAUCUUCCGCAAUGGACGAAAGUCUGACGGAGCAACGCCGCGUGAGUGAUGAAGGCUUUCGGGUCGUAAAACUCUGUUGUUAGGGAAGAACAAGUGCUAGUUGAAUAAGCUGGCACCUUGACGGUACCUAACCAGAAAGCCACGGCUAACUACGUGCCAGCAGCCGCGGUAAUACGUAGGUGGCAAGCGUUAUCCGGAAUUAUUGGGCGUAAAGCGCGCGCAGGUGGUUUCUUAAGUCUGAUGUGAAAGCCCACGGCUCAACCGUGGAGGGUCAUUGGAAACUGGGAGACUUGAGUGCAUAAGAGGAAAGUGGAAUUCCAUGUGUAGCCGUGAAAUGCGUAAAGAUAUGGAGGAACACCAGUGGCCAAGGCGACUUUCUGAUCUGUAACUGACACUGAGGCGCCAAAAGCGUGGGGAGCAAACAGGAUUAAAUACCCUGCUANNCCACGCCCUAAACAAUAAAUGCUACGUGUUGGAAGGUUUCCACCCUUUAUUGCUGAAAUUAACCCAUUUANUCACUCCCCCCUGGGGAGUACGGCCGCAGGGCUCAAACUCAAAAGAAUUAACCCGCGCCCCGCACACACUUAUGCACCAUAUUAUUUGAUUCAAAGNCACCCCNNAAAAAAUUAACCAGGUCUUGACUGCCUCUGACAACCCUAGAAAUAUAAGCUAU